rnacentral:lncRNA from 1 species
GUUAAUUCACAUAAGUAUUGCUACUUAGAUGAAGGGCCUUCUUUAUGUUGGACAGAAAAUGGUUUUGCUUUCUUAAUUUCUUGGCAAAGAGUCUAAUUGUAAUUGUUGCCAGAUGGGUGGUCUCAGGGAAAGGAAACUCAAGAAAGGGAUUUGGACAGAUUUAGACAAAGUCUUGGCUGCUAUGGAAAUUUCGAUGUGAAAAAGGGAAAUGUCUGUCUGCAAAACUGACUGGAGGAAACCUUUUCACCUGAAAUGAAACUUUCUGAAAGGACAGAAAGCAGAGAUAAUAAGCAGAAGAAAAGAAAUUGAGCAGUUAUACGAGUGAAGUCAAGAAAUCUCCACGUGGGAUGGGGACGUGAGAAAAGAAAAAAAGAAAAAAAAAACAAAACCUUGAAAGACAAAGAACCCAGACAAAGAACCAUUUGACACAGAGUGUGUAGUUCCCUACUCCCUCUACCACCAGUGGAGGUUUCAUCGAGUGAGGCAGACUGAACCUAGUGCUGCCUCAUGGAAGAUGGCAGCUACUCCUCUCUGCUGACUGUUGGGAGGUGAUGAGUAAUACAUACCUCAGCAUCCAGAGGAGUGAUACAGAGCCUGUUAAUCACAGAUAAGGAAUGGUACCAAAUCCACUCAUGUAGGGAAAAUGGAUAAGGAUUUCUUCAUUUAUUAUUUCAGAAUAUACAUUCUUCAUUAUUCAGAUGAGAAAUAAUCAUGGGAGGAGACAGUAAAAUCCUUUUCAUAACAAAGAGGGUAGUACAGCUUACUCUGGAGACAUACAAGGAUAGCCUCUUCUUCCUGACACAGCCCAGAAGUGCUUCAAGCAGGACUCAAGUUGCACCAGCAGGAGAAAUUAGGCAGAUUCUGGUGGAGGAAAGAAGUCCAUAAGUGACAUUGCCUAUGCUGGGUUCCCAGUGAGUCAGAACAACUCAACUUCAGUUGUGGAGACAUCUCUGGUCACCUGGGAAGCCAGCAGAAUGCUCAAUUUCUUUACCAGCUAUGAAUCCCGGGUAUAUAUUCAUGGAAACUG